CGUGCAUUUAGUGGGCGGUCGGGAUUAUUGGUGUGGUCUUGAGAAUUCUAUCCUUGUCUUGGUUACUAUAAGACCGCCAACGCCUGUUCCUCAGGAAAAAGCUGAAGUUUUGGGUUUCAUUGCAUUCGUGAUGGUGGGUCAUAUCCUCCUGGCGUUACUCCUGGCUAUCAGCAAGGCGUUGUGUGGGCGUUGGUGGGCGGCGUGGAGUGGGACACCUUCUUGACUGGACGGGCGUGGGCGGGGGGUGUUGGUGGUGGGCGAAGGAACAGCGAGGCG